CAGCAGCCGCGGUAAUACCGGCGGCCCGAGUGGCGGUCACUAUUAUUGGGCUUAAAACGUCCGUAGCCGGGUUGGGAAGUCCUCCGGGAAAUCUGGCCGCUUAACGGUCAGAAUGCCGGAGGAUACUCCCAGCCUAGGGAGCGGGAGAGGCCGAGGGGAUUCCCGGAGGAGGGGGGAAAUCCUAUAAUCCCGGGAGGACCACCUGUGGCGAAGGCGCUCGGCUGGAACGCGUCCGACGGUGAGGGACGAAGGCCAGGGGAGCAAACCGGAUUAGAUACCCGGGUAGUCCUGGCUGUAAACGAUGCGGACUUUGUGUCGGACAAGCUAUGAGCUUGUCCGGUGCCGGAGGGAAACCGUUAAGUCCGCCGCCUGGGGAGUACGGCCGCAAGGCUGAAACUUAAAGGAAUUGGCGGG
rnacentral:rRNA from 1 species